GGCAGCAUAAUGGAUAGCAAUAUCUAUGGUGGCGACCGGCGCACGGGUGCGUAACGCGUAUGCAACCUACCUUUAACAGGGGGAUAACACUGAGAAAUUGGUACUAAUACCCCAUAAUAUCAUAGAAGGCAUCUUUUAUGGUUGAAAAUUCCGAUGGUUAGAGAUGGGCAUGCGUUGUAUUAGCUAGUUGGUGGGGUAACGGCUCACCAAGGCGACGAUACAUAGGGGGACUGAGAGGUUAACCCCCCACACUGGUACUGAGACACGGACCAGACUCCUACGGGAGGCAGCAGUGAGGAAUAUUGGUCAAUGGACGCAAGUCUGAACCAGCCAUGCCGCGUGCAGGAUGACGGCUCUAUGAGUUGUAAACUGCUUUCGUACGAGGGUAAACGCAGAUACGUGUAUCUGUCUGAAAGUAUCGUACGAAUAAGGAUCGGCUAACUCCGUGCCAGCAGCCGAGGUAAUACGGAGGAUUCGAGCGUUAUCCGGAUUUAUUGGGUUUAAAGGGUGCGUAGGCGGUUUGAUAAGUUAGAGGUGAAAUUUCGGGGCUCAACCCUGAACGUGCCUCUAAUACUGUUGAGCUAGAGAGUAGUUGCGGUAGGCGGAAUGUAUGGUGUAGCGGUGAAAUGCUUAGAGAUCAUACAGAACACCGAUUGCGAAGGCAGCUUACCAAACUAUAUCUGACGUUGAGGCACGAAAGCGUGGGGAGCAAACAGGAUUAGAUACCCUGGUAGUCCACGCAGUAAACGAUGAUAACUCGUUGUCGGCGAUACACAGUCGGUGACUAAGCGAAAGCGAUAAGUUAUCCACCUGGGGAGUACGUUCGCAAGAAUGCAACUCAAAAAA
rnacentral:rRNA from 1 species